CCUCCUGUCAGUCGAGACUUGUGCAUUGGUCGAGAAUAAGUGCUACUACUGCACUCGUCCCGGCCUAGCAGGUGACGUC
rnacentral:pre_miRNA from 1 species